UACGAAGGGGGCUAGCGUUGUUCGGAAUUACUGGGCGUAAAGCGCACGUAGGCGGGUUAUUAAGUCAGGGGUGAAAUCCCGGAGCUCAACUCCGGAACUGCCUAUGAUACUGGUAAUCUAGAGAUCGGAAGAGGUUAGUGGAAUUCCCAGUGUAGAGGUGAAAUUCGUAGAUAUCGGGAAGAACACCCGUGGCGAAGGCGGUUCUCUGGGACGGUACUGACGCUGAGACGCGAAAGCGUGGGGAGCGAACAGG
rnacentral:rRNA from 1 species